GUAGUCCACGCAGUAAACGAUGAGUGCUAGAUAUUGGGACAUUAGUCUCAGUGUCAAAGCUAACGCGUUAAGCACUCCGCCUGGGGAGUACGGUCGCAAGAUUAAAACUCAAAGGAAUUGACGGGGACUCGCACAAGCGGUGGAACAUGUGGUUUAAUUCGAUGCUACGCGAAAAACCUUACCAGGCCUUGACAUGGUGGUCAUAUCGUGGGGAAACUCAUGAGUCGGUUCGGCCGGACCAUCACAGGUGUUGCAUGGCUGUCGUCAGCUCGUGUCGUGAGAUGUUGGGUUAAGUCCCGCAACGAGCGCAACCCUUAUCCUUAGUUACCAGCGGGUAAAGCCGGGCACUUUAAGGAAACUGCCGGUGAUAAGCCGGAGGAAGGUGGGGAUGACGUCAAGUCAGCAUGGCCCUUACGGCCUGGGCUACACACGUGUUACAAUGGUGGUGACAAUGGGCAGCGAAGGGGUAACCUGGAGCAAAUCCAAAAAAGCCAUCUCAGUUCGGAUUGUACUCUGCAACUCGAGUACAUGAAGUCGGAAUCGCUAGUAAUCGCGGAUCAGCAUGCCGCGGUGAAUACGUUCUCGGGUCUUGUACACACUGCCCGUCAAGCCAUGGGAGUUGGUUUUACCUUAAGCAGGUGUGCUAACCGCAAGGAGGCAGCCUACCACGGUGAAGUCGAUGACUGGGGUU
rnacentral:rRNA from 1 species